AUUUUUAUAGUGUAAAAUAACACAUUACAUUUUCACUGUAAAGCUGAAUUUAUUAAUUCUAAAAACG
rnacentral:tRNA from 1 species